ACAUAGGAAAAUCUCUAUUUAAGUAAGGAUAAAUUACUCUAAAAGAAGAAAUGAUCCUAUAUAAUUUUCCCUUCAAGUGUCUUGU
rnacentral:pre_miRNA from 1 species